GCCGGUCUGUAAUGAACCGGGGAAAAAAAUUAACCGCCCUGUCCUUCCCGUCAGAAGUCUCCCUUCGCUGCUGGCCCUUGGGAGACUUGUGUUUGGCCGGGCGGGGUGGUAUUUUCCACUAGCAAUCCCGCCCCAGGAGACUGGAACAGGCCUGCUGAUUCACAGCGUGACAACACCAGGGUCCCAGAACUAACGCUGUGUUUGGCCAAGAUGAGCUGAUUGCUGUUAACCUUGAGCAAGACAGGUUAGUCUGCACAGCAGGAGAAAACAGCUGUAGGAUUUCAUCCUUAUGGUAGUCAUCUGUCACGAAAAACACAUCUUGGACAAGUCACUCACGAUCUUUAGUGUGCAGUGGGAUUCCUUGCCGAUGCUGCAAAGCGGCAGCCGCAGGUAGGACCUCUCAUCUCCACUCGCUUCCAGUCACAAGGCCUGACAGUGAGGGAAAGUGGUGGUGUUCUAGGGGCUGAACAGGCACAGACUGUGGUGAUAGACACCCUGGGCUUCUGGGGAAACAUGGUAGCUGAUGUGUUCAAACACCUCCCUCCAUUUUCCGUAGUAGUCCCUUCCUAGGGUCUGAACAGAGGGUUCAGUGGAUGCCAGCUUUUGGACUGGCUCACGCCUUAGGUGGCAGCACCAGUGAGCGCAGUGAUGUGCCUCGCAGCUGCAACAAGGGCGUUCUGCAACAUGGCAGCACGGAUGUAGGAGCUCAUUGCCAACAAGGAGGAUGCUUCCUUACCUUCCCACAUCCUGCCCCUCCCCAUUCCCAGACACAGCUCUGGCCCUUUGCUCACGCCGGUGAUAGCUUUUGUCUGACUCACAAGCAGGUUCAACUCACUAUGUUUACAGAACGCAGUCAUCAAAACCUAGGCUUUUGCCAGCUGAUGGAACUGAAUUGGCUUCACACUGGCACCAGCACCAAUGUAACAGAAGCGGCAGGAGUGCAUGACUUGCAGUGGGUUCAGCCUUUUUGGAAGCAUUGAACUAUUAGAAUGACUCAACAUCUCACAGGACUUAGCCACAAGUACUGGGCACAGCAGAAACAUUUGAGGAGUUGCAGUAUGCAUCCUGCCUUUAACACCACAUCCUAAUACCUCUGGCCUCCUGUCUGGCUUGCAGCGUGAACAGGAGGUGGCAUUAACCGCCAGACUUCACACAAUGUGCUGACAACUUUUUCUGACCUUCUUCAAAGUCAGAGAGCAGAGACUGCAAACAAGGCAGAGCGACCUUGCAGCCUGCAGGCUGCCAGCUGGACCAUGUGGAAAACCUCACUGAAGGACUUUGGAUGGACUCCUACAGUACAGCUAAAAAUGCAGAGUCUAAUUCAUGCAGGAGAUGGGUUGGCCUCAUUUCAGCUCUAAGGCCAGGGGCAAUCCAGUCCUGUAGAAUCAAAGAACCAGCCUACAAAUUUCAUUGCUCUCUAUUUCAAAUGCAAAGCAAGUAAGAAGACACGGAGAAGAGAGACAAAAAAGCAAUUAAGAGUGACAUGGUUGAACAAGAGAAGGUAGUGCAAAUGAAGGCUGAGAUAAGAGACAUGAGAACAGGCAUGUAUAAACUGUGCAGAAGCUUUUACUGGUGCUAGACUGUCUGAAAUGACAAGAGGGUUUUUGUAAGUGAAAAGAAUAAGUGAUCUUUUGAAAACAGAUGGUCUGCCAGUUCUGUAACAGUUUAUGUGUGGAUUAAGGCAUUUAGGUAGCUUGUUCCAGAGGAAAGUGCUACCGGUGAAAGCUAUUUCUGUCACCUUCAGCAGUCUGAGAGCCAAAAUGUUCAAAGGAAAGUGGCUGGAGGUUGAGUUGAAUUCCCUGGAGGAGGUCUUGAGGGACCUUGGAAGGCCACAGCACUAUGCAGUCACACCUCAGGAGACCCACCAUGGCCGUCCUUCAGGCUGCUGGGAGAGCAGGACUUAGCAAUAGAUUUUAUACUUCUCCCUGGAUGGAGUUAAACUUUGGGGGUUUGUAAUAUCUGUAAAUCUUAUGGGAAACUAGCCCAGCUCUUGUAGUUCUGACACACCCUGGAUUUUAUAUGGUUCCAAAAGACAUACAUCCGCUGUUUUUACUAUUUUUUUAUCUUAAACUACAGUCCCUAACUGAAAGGCUUCUAUAAUGGAUGCAACUGUGUGAAAAUGCACACGCAUGUGAAAUGCCUCUGUAGUAGAGGCUACACAACUUUUCUUCAAAUCCUUCUCAGUAAUAUGCAGAUGACAGCACUUUUUCUGAUGUUGACUGUCACUGCAGACUCCAUUGUAACACUGAAUUUUUGAGAUUAUAAACAGGAUGCUCUGUAUUUCUAAAACCUUGGAGUACAGAAACAGUUCCAGAAGCAGGGGAACCCCAGAAGACAGCUUUUGAUCAGUAAGUGUACAGCAACUGAACGGAAUGGGAGAGGUGCAAAGAGUGAGCAAUGAAGUGUACAAUAUAGAUGAUCUUAACUCUCUCCAUACUGUCUGGCACAUCGUAGAGGCAUUUAAAUGGUGUGGGUAAAAACUAGGUGGGGAAAAAUCACAGUGGUGUGCAGACUCCUGCAGCUCCAUCUGGCUUAUCUGAACAGAGCUCAUUCAAUUAGCUCAGCAAGUCUCUAAUCAGUAAAAAAAAUCUUAGUUUAACCACUGCCUGCGUCACCACGGCAGAAGGAUAUAGCUCCCAAACUGAGCUGCCUUCUCAUCUGACCAUGUUAACACAUAGCUAUGGGUCAGUCUUUUCAAUCUAAAUGUUAACACACCUAACACACCUAAAUUCGAGGGUGCUUAGGUAAGCUUAGCCAGACACUGGCUUCUGGAUACCUGCCCAGAAAUGGUUCUAAGAGUUUACUUAAGCCUGUGUAGCCUCUGCAGCAGCUCUGCGCUGUGCUGUGAUCCCCUACCAACGGUGAUAAGAGACAGAGCUGCAGCAGCAGUGAGACCUUCUAAACUUCCUGUACAUGUUGCAGGAAGACAGCAUUAGGAACAGAAUACUUGGCACGCUGUCACAAGUCCAGCACUUCUCGUAGCAGGAGAAAUCAGAAUUGGGACUCUUGCGAUCAAAGCUGUUCUGCCUGUGCCACAGAUUCUUUUAUUUUGCUGUUUUGCAUUAGAAAUAAUGAGAGCAUUUUUGCAUUUUCAUAAAUAACAUUCUUGGUCAAAAUCAGUUUACCCAGAAAGCUCAGCUGAACAGCUUUUUUUUCUUCUUAAUUCUUCUAAAUCCACUGCAAAAUACAUCGGUUCUCCGGAAAACAAUUGUUCAGACAGGCCACAACAUUUUUCCUCCCAUCCAGUGCUCUCUCUCCCAACAGUUUCAGCAGCCCUGGAGCGCGUUUGCCAGGUUUGGAGGUUUUUGCCGUUUGCUGACUAGUGGCAAUGGCAUUGGGCCCUAGAGCUUCUCACUGACAUUCACUUCUUUCUCCUUUACCUUCCCUGUUUUAUUUACUUUAAAUGCACUGAAACAACUAGCAAUGUAAAUGUCAAUGAAUCAUAGGCUCAUUAAAUGGACCUAAGUUUGCCUCCAAGUUUUAGCUGAUCUCUCUUAGCCUUGUGAGGGAGGUACUGUGAAAAUGCUUGGAAAGCCAGAGCUUUGAUCUCAGAGGGCAGUGGUGGGAGGCUGAUUAUUAUUUUCUGAAGUUCUCAGGGCAUAAGUUUUGGACACAAAAAUGGGAAAAAAAGUCUUGAAUGAAAAUCAAGAGCAAAAUAUAUCCCUCAGAUUUUUGUCAGGAUGGUGACAACUGCUCAUCCUAAACCAAGGGUCUAGCCUCAUAUCUUCAAAUAUUAGGCUAGACACAGUAAUGUUAAACUGCUUCAUGUGCACUGGCGCUUAAGGUGCUGCCGCAAAAGGUACAGCUGAAUUUAUAGAGCAGAUGAUCCUCUCUAGUGUACAUUACACCUAAAGACGUGCCAUGACACCGACAUUAAGUAUUGCACUGUAAAUACAGAGAUGUAUGUUAAAACAUUGCUCUGAGCUCAUAUAGGCUUUGCUCUGUUGAUUCUAGUUGACUGUGGCCAUUGGGCUGAGGAGUCAAAGGUGGCAAGGCAUAAUAGUAGUCACUUUGAAUUUUUGAUGAUGGAGACUGGUCCAUCUUGGCUCCAGUAUGUCUCAAUUUUAAAAUCUUCUCAAGCGUAGACUGAAAUGUUUGCCACCACUGAACACCACAUACGCAGAUACAGACACUCUCCACCCCACUCCCCACCUUAUUUCAUACUUGAAGAGGUGCUUGCAAACAUGAACUUUAAAAGGUAUAGUCAAAAGGGCAGUCAGGAGCUCUGUGGGACAGGUAAAAAUAUAUAAUAAAUCUCCUCUCUCAGAACUGCAUCUCAGCUCUUGCUGCCUAUGUUUUGAGCCCAGAGUUGGAUGUCUGAACUUUCCCCCGAGUAGCACAUGACAGAGCGAAUUUGUGCCAGGUUCCAAAACCAGCUCCCAGAGACCUCUCCUGACCACAGACAGGAGCCAGUGCAAGCAGCGUGACCUUACUGUGGGGUCACUCUGCACUGGUCUUUUAAAAAGUAAGUCUUUUGCUUUCUGCUUUACACUUCUGUAAUUGCAUUAAUGGAUUCAUGUCUGAGUUAGUUACUGCAAGCAAUACAAAGAGAAAAAAAUAUAGCACUUACUAAAUAAAUGUGUGACUGCAAGAAAACUAGGAAGAGUAGUGCAAAUUAAAGCUGUUUAUAUAUUUGUAGAGACUGCAUAAGAUCCUGUAGCAAACACCUCAUGGCUUUUGGUAAUAUAGUGCUGUAUUUUAUAUCAACUGUAAAUUGAUGACAAACAUUUGUUAACAUAAACCUUGUCUACGGAAUAUAAACUUACGAUGCCUUAAUACAUUCAAGACAUUCAACAUGUUAAUGAAUAGCAACAGUGGCAACAAUGAUGAUGCAUCAGCUACAACAUUAUGCCAGCUGCGUUCGUACACAGUAAUAAUUCAGACCAUCCCUUUUCUUAGUUUAAAAAUGCUCAGAUGCACUUCCUUGCAGAGCAAGCAUUGAAAAACAAGUGGGAAAUCAUGAAAGAAUUGUACCUAAAAUUUUGCAAAUCUUCAUUGUUUGGCUUUGUUUCCUCUUACUAUACACUAUUAACAUGAGAAUUUGUGUUUGAACUAAGUCAAAAUAAAGCCAUGGUUCACUUGCCAGAGCAUGGACAAUAAAACAUUGCAUUGUAAAUCACA